UACGUAUGGAGCAAGCGUUAUCCGGAUUUACUGGGUGUAAAGGGAGCGUAGGCGGCUCUGUAAGUCUGAUGUGAAAAUUUGGGGCUCAACCCCAAACGUGCAUUGGAAACUGCAGGGCUUGAGUGCCGGAGAGGCAGGCGGAAUUCCUAGUGUAGCGGUGAAAUGCGUAGAUAUUAGGAGGAACACCAGUGGCGAAGGCGGCCUGCUGGACGGUAACUGACGCUGAGGCUCAAAAGCGUGGGGAGCAAACAGG
rnacentral:rRNA from 1 species